AGCAGCCGCGGUAAUUCCAGCUCCAAUAGCGUAUAUUAAAGUUGUUGCAGUUAAAAAGCUCGUAGUUGAAUUUCGGGGUCAGUAGGUUGGUCGUGCCACUGGUAUGCACUGGUCUCGCUGAUUCCUCCUUCCUGAUGAACCGUAAUGCCAUUAAUUUGGUGUUGCGGGGAAUCUGGACUGUUACUUUGAAAAAAUUAGAGUGUUUAAAGCAGGCUCACGCUUGAAUACAUUAGCAUGGAAUAACGGAAUAGGACGUUUGAUUCUAUUUUGUUGGUUUCUAGGAUCGACGUAAUGAUUAAUAGGGAUAGUUGGGGGCAUUAGUAUUCAAUUGUCAGAGGUGAAAUUCUUGGAUUUAUUGAAGACUAACUACUGCGAAAGCAUUUGCCAAGGAUGUUUUCAUUAAUCAAGAACGAAAGUUAGGGGAUCGAAGACGAUCAGAUACCGUCGUAGUCUUAACCAUAAACUAUGCCGACUAGGGAUCGGAUGAUGUUAAUUUUUUAAUGA
rnacentral:rRNA from 1 species